CUACGGGACGCUGCAGUGAGGAAUAUUGCGCAAUGGGCGAAAGCCUGACGCAGCGACGCCGCGUGAAGGAUGAAGGUCUUCGGAUCGUAAACUUCUGUUAAGUGGAAAGAAAGACUUGCUUUUAAUAGAAGCAAGGGAUGACGGUACCAUUAGAGAAAGCACCGGCUAACUUCGUGCCAGCAACCGCGGUAAUACGAAGGGUGCAAGCGUUAUUCGGAAUCAUUGGGCGUAAAGGGUGCGUAGGCGGCCUUUCAAGUCUGUUGUUAAAUACCUCGGCCUAACCGAGGAUCGGCAGUGGAAACUGAUUGGCUAGAGUAUGGAAGAGAGAAGUAGAAUUCUCGGAGUAGCGGUAAAAUGCGUAGAUAUCGAGAGGAAUACCAAUGGCGAAGGCAGCUUCUUGGUCCAUUACUGACGCUGAUGCACGAAAGCGUGGGGAGCAAACAGGAUUAGAUACCCCAGUAGUC
rnacentral:rRNA from 1 species